rnacentral:misc_RNA from 1 species
CAGGAGAGUUGAAAGACUCGCCCAACCCUUUGUGAACAUACCGGAAUCGUCGCUUCGGCGGGCAGCCCCAGGGCGGGGCCGCCGCCUCCCUCUCCGGGGGGAGGUGCCCGCCGGUAGCUACACAAACUCCUGCUUUACGAGGCCAUCUGAGUAACCAUACAAAUAAAUCA